ACUCAACACUAUAUCUUUAUAAAGGAUGAGUCUUAAUUGUAAAAGCAAGCCGUCUUUGAACGGAUCCUUGAUCAAUUAGUUAAUCCUAAACUUGUUUAUAAGGAGUUU
rnacentral:sRNA from 2 species